UACGUAGGGUGCGAGCGUUAAUCGGAAUUACUGGGCGUAAAGCGUGCGCAGGCGGUUCGCUAAGACAGGUGUGAAAUCCCCGGGCUUAACCUGGGAAUGGCGCUUGUGACUGGCGGGCUGGAGUACGGCAGAGGGAGGUGGAAUUCCACGUGUAGCAGUGAAAUGCGUAGAUAUGUGGUGGAACACCGAUGGCGAAGGCAGCCUCCUGGGCCAGUACUGACGAUCAUGCACGAAAGAGUGGGGAGCAAACAGG
rnacentral:rRNA from 1 species